GCUGCUGUAGCUCAGUUGGUAGAGUACAUCCUUGGUAAGGAUGGGGUCAUGGGUUCAAGUCCCAUCAGCAGCA
rnacentral:tRNA from 1 species